rnacentral:rRNA from 1 species
UACAGAGGGUGCGAGCGUUAAUCGGAAUUACUGGGCGUAAAGCGUGCGUAGACGGUAGCGUAAGUCAGAUGUGAAAUCCCCGGGCUCAACCUGGGAACUGCAUUUGUGACUGUAGAGCUGGAGUACGGCAGAGGGGGAUGGAAUUCCGCGUGUAGCAGUGAAAUGCGUAGAUAUGCGGAGGAACACCGAUGGCGAAGGCAAUCCCCUGGGCCUGUACUGACGCUCAUGCACGAAAGCGUGGGGAGCAAACAGG